ACGAACGCUGGCGGCGUGCCUAAUACAUGCAAGUCGAGCGAAGUUUUUCUGGUGCUUGCCCUAGAAAACCUUAGCGGCGACCGGGUGAGUAACACGUAAAGAACCUGCCUCAUAGACUGGGACAACUAUUGGAAACGAUAGCUAAUACCGGAUAACAGUAUUUCUCGCAUGAGAGAUAUUUAAAAGUUGGUUAUGCUAACACUAUGAGAUGGCUUUGCGGUGCAUUAGCUAGUUGGUGGGGUAAAGGCCCACCAAGGCGACGAUGCAUAGCCGACCUGAGAGGGUGAUCGGCCACACUGGGACUGAGACACGGCCCAGACUCCUACGGGAGGCAGCAGUAGGGAAUCUUCCGCAAUGGGCGAAAGCCUGACGGAGCAACGCCGCGUGAGUGAAGAAGGAUUUCGGUUCGUAAAGCUCUGUUGUUAGGGAAGAAUGGAUAUGUAGUAACUAUACAUGUAAGAGACGGUACCUAACCAGAAAGCCACGGCUAACUACGUG
rnacentral:rRNA from 1 species